rnacentral:lncRNA from 1 species
GCCGUCGCCCUCACCUCCAAGCCCAGCUCCGGGCGUGCCCCCUCCGUCGCCCGAGCCUCCCAGCCCUGCGCCUGGCGUACCGCCACCGUCGCCCUCACCUCCAAGCCCUGCGCCUGGCUUGCCUCCUCCGUCGCCCGCGCCUCCCAGCCCAGCUCCGGGCGUUCCGCCACCAUCGCCCUCACCUCCAAGCCCAGCUCCGGGCGUGCCCCCUCCGUCGCCCGCGCCUCCCAGCCCUGCGCCUGGCGUACCGCCGCCGUCGCCCUCACCUCCAAGCCCAGCUCCGGGCGUGCCUCCUCCGUCGCCCGCGCCUCCCAGCCCAGCUCCGGGCGUUCCGCCGCCGUCGCCCUCACCUCCAAGCCCAGCUCCGGGCGUACCGCCGCCGUCGCCCUCACCUCCAAGCCCAGCUCCGGGCGUACCGCCGCCGUCGCCCUCACCUCCAAGCCCAGCUCCGGGCGUACCGCCGCCGUCGCCCUCACCUCCAAGCCCAGCUCCGGGCGUGCCGCCGCCGUCGCCCUUACCUCCCAGCCCGGCGCCUGGCGUGCCCCCUCCGUCGCCCGAGCCUCCCAGCCCUGCGCCUGGCGUACCGCCGCCGUCGCCCUCACCUCCAAGCCCAGCUCCGGGCGUGCCGCCGCCGUCGCCCGCGCCUCCCAGCCCUGCGCCUGGCGUACCGCCGCCAUCGCCCUCACCUCCAAGCCCAGCUCCUGGCGUGCCUCCGCCGUCGCCCGCGCCUCCCAGCCCAGCUCCGGGCGUACCGCCGCCGUCGCCCUCACCUCCAAGCCCAGCUCCGGGCGUACCGCCGCCGUCGCCCUCACCUCCAAGCCCAGCUCCGGGCGUGCCGCCGCCGUCGCCCUUACCUCCCAGCCCGGCGCCUGGCGUGCCCCCUCCGUCGCCCGAGCCUCCCAGCCCUGCGCCUGGCGUACCGCCGCCGUCGCCCUCACCUCCAAGCCCAGCUCCGGGCGUGCCGCCGCCGUCGCCCGCGCCUCCCAGCCCUGCGCCUGGCGUACCGCCGCCAUCGCCCUCACCUCCAAGCCCAGCUCCUGGCGUGCCUCCGCCGUCGCCCGCGCCUCCCAGCCCAGCUCCGGGCGUACCGCCGCCGUCGCCCUCACCUCCAAGCCCAGCUCCGGGCGUACCGCCGCCGUCGCCCUCACCUCCAAGCCCAGCUCCGGGCGUGCCGCCGCCGUCGCCCUCACCUCCAAGCCCAGCUCCGGGCGUACCGCCGCCGUCGCCCGAGCCUCCCAGCCCAGCUCCGGGCGUACCGCCGCCGUCGCCCUCACCUCCAAGCCCAGCUCCGGGCGUACCGCCGCCGUCGCCCUCACCUCCAAGCCCAGCUCCGGGCGUGCCGCCGCCGUCGCCCUCACCUCCAAGCCCAGCUCCGGGCGUGCCCCCUCUGUCGCCCGAGCCUCCCAGCCCUGCGCCUGGCGUACCGCCGCCGUCGCCCUCACCUCCAAGCCCAGCUCCGGGCGUGCCGCCGCCGUCGCCCGAGCCUCCCAGCCCUGCGCCUGGCGUGCCUCCUCCGUCGCCCGAGCCUCCCAGCCCUGCGCCUGGCGUACCGCCGCCGUCGCCCUCACCUCCAAGCCCAGCUCCGGGCGUGCCGCCGCCGUCGCCCUCACCUCCCAGCCCUGCGCCUGGCGUGCCGCCUCCGUCGCCCGCGCCUCCCAGCCCUGCGCCUGGCGUACCGCCGCCGUCGCCCUCACCUCCAAGCCCAGCUCCGGGCGUGCCGCCGCCGUCGCCCUCAUCUCCCAGCCCUGCACCUGGCGUGCCUCCUCCGUCGCCCGCGCCUCCCAGCCCUUCGCCUGG